UCUCCCCGGGAGGACGGCCUGGCAGCGAGGAAUCAGAGCCGGAGCGAUCUCCCGGCCGGGGUGAGAGGAAGAUGAAGGUCCUGCUGACGCUGGCGGUGCUCCUUGCCUGCAGUGUGUUCACGGCUCGUGGGAAGCUCCCGCGCACGUUCACACCGGGACUCGAGGGAAGCACCGUAGGAAAUCUGACCGCCCAUGGUUGCUACUCGGGAUGGGGCAGCAGCGGCACAUUGAAGGCUUCAAGGGACCGGUAUAGGCAACGUUGCCUGGGAGGGCUAAUGCUGGCCCUGGGAUGGCUAAUGCUGGCCCCGGGGUAACCCCAGGG